rnacentral:rRNA from 1 species
GUCGAGCGGAUGAUGGGAGCUUGCUCCCGGAUUCAGCGGCGGACGGGUGAGUAAUGCCUAGGAAUCUGCCUGGUAGUGGGGGACAACGUUUCGAAAGGAACGCUAAUACCGCAUACGUCCUACGGGAGAAAGCAGGGGACCUUCGGGCCUUGCGCUAUCAGAUGAGCCUAGGUCGGAUUAGCUAGUUGGUGGGGUAAAGGCCUACCAAGGCGACGAUCCGUAACUGGUCUGAGAGGAUGAUCAGUCACACUGGAACUGAGACACGGUCCAGACUCCUACGGGAGGCAGCAGUGGGGAAUAUUGGACAAUGGGCGAAAGCCUGAUCCAGCCAUGCCGCGUGUGUGAAGAAGGUCUUCGGAUUGUAAAGCACUUUAAGUUGGGAGGAAGGGCAGUAAGUUAAUACCUUGCUGUUUUGACGUUACCAACAGAAUAAGCACCGGCUAACUUCGUGCCAGCAGCCGCGGUAAUACGAAGGGUGCAAGCGUUAAUCGGAAUUACUGGGCGUAAAGCGCGCGUAGGUGGUUUGGUAAGAUGGAUGUGAAAUCCCCGGGCUCAACCUGGGAACUGCAUCCAUAACUGCCUGACUAGAGUACGG